UGACUAAGACAGCCACCAUACAUAGUA
rnacentral:misc_RNA from 1 species